rnacentral:lncRNA from 1 species
AAUGCAUCUUAUCUAUCUUUUCCUAAAGCAGGAUCACAGACUUGUGCAAACUGGAAGUGAGCUCUGGAGUACCUCUUAUAGAGUUUGCAGCUCGAAGACAGGCCAGCUGGGUCAGAAUGCUCAUGGACCUACCCAGUCUGGUCUUGUAAAUCUUUUGGGAACCUUGUUCCAGUGUUGGAUUGCUUUCAUGGACAUACAUUAUAAGAAAGAAUUUAUUAAAAGUGACUGUCAAUCUUCUUGCUGCCCUCAGAAGUCUAUUACAAUUACUAAGUUUAAAUACCGUGAAUGA